GUUCAUAGAAUAAUCUUGAACUGCAGCCUCAUUAGCCGAACUAACACUUUACAUUCUGAUGUCGAGACGAAUUAGAUAAAUGUUCCUGCGUGUUCAAUGAAUUUGGAUGAGACGGCGCCUGGGAUGGCUGAGCGGCAGUUGCGUCAUCAUUCGUGUUCGGUGGAAUUGAGUUCAUUGCAAUAAAAGUAAAUAAGACUUUCUGAAUAAUAAAUUAAUGUAAUUCUCAAUAAAUAAUUUUCACAAUAAUAAGGUA